rnacentral:rRNA from 1 species
UACGUAGGGUGCAAGCGUUGUCCGGAAUUAUUGGGCGUAAAGAGCUCGUAAGCGGUCUGUCGCGUCGGCUGUGAAAACCUAGGGCUCAACCUGGGCCUGCAGCCGAUACGGGCAGACUAGAAUUCGGUAGGGGAGACUGGAAUUCCUGGUGUAGCGGUGAAAUGCGCAGAUAAUCAGGAGGAACACCGGUGGCGAAGGCGGGUCUCUGGGCCGAAUGAUUGACGCUGAGGAGCGAAAGCG